rnacentral:rRNA from 1 species
ACGGGAGGCAGCAGUGGGGGAUAUUGGACAAUGGGGGAAACCCUGAUCCAGCGACGCCGCGUGAGUGAAGAAGUAUUUCGGUAUGUAAAGCUCUAUCAGCAGGGAAGAAAAAAUCAAAAUUGACUGUACCUGACUAAGAAGCCACGGCUAACUACGUGCCAGCAGCCGCGGUAAUACGUAGGUGGCAAGCGUUGUCCGGAAUUACUGGGUGUAAAGGGAGCGCAGGCGGGACAGCAAGUUGGAUGUGAAAUACCGAGGCUUAACCACGGAGCUGCAUCCAAAACUGUUGUUCUUGAGUGAAGUAGAGGUAGGCGGAAUUCCGAGUGUAGCGGUGAAAUGCGUAGAUAUUCGGAGGAACACCAGUGGCGAAGGCGGCCUACUGGGCUUUAACUGACGCUGAGGCUCGAAAGCGUGGGGAGCAAACAGGAUUAGAUACCCUGGUA